UUUCGCAAUGCCCGAAAGGGUGACGAAGCGACGCCGCGUGAGUGAGGAAGGCCUUCGGGUUGUAAAGCUCUGUCAGGAGUUAAGAAAUAUAAGUGUGCUAAUACCACAUUUAUUUGACGAAGGCUCCAAAGGAAGCCACGGCUAACUCUGUGCCAGCAGCCGCGGUAAUACAGAGGUGGCAAGCGUUGUGCGGAAUUAUUGGGCGUAAAGAGCACGUAGGUGGGUUUGUAAGUCAGAUGUGAAAGCCUUCUGUUCAACGGAAGAAUUGCAUCUGAAACUACAAGUCUUGAGUGUAGGAGGGGAGAAUGGAACUUCUGGUGGAGCGGUGAAAUGCGUAGAUAUCAGAAGGAACGCCGGCGGCGAAAGCGAUUCUCCGGCCUAUUACUGACACUCAGUGUGCGAAAGCUAGGGGAGCAAACGGGAUUAGAUACCCCGGUAGUCCUAGCCGUAAACGAUGGGCACUAAGUAGAGGGGUUUUA
rnacentral:rRNA from 1 species